rnacentral:rRNA from 1 species
AAGAUACCAAGGAGAAAUAAAGGACUAAUUUAGGAAGAUAAGUCAAAGAAAAGAGAAAGGAUAAAUGAUAGAAAUACUAGGGGAAAAGAUAAUAAACCAGUAGAAUCCUAGGGGAAACCCUAAGUAAGUACCCUUUGAACAGAAACAUCUAAAGUAAAAGGAGGAAAAGAAAUCAACCGAGAUAACCUAAGUAGUGGUGAGCGAAAGGGAAAAGAUCCAUAGUCCGGCCUGAAUAAGAAGCAUAGAGGGAGAAACACCCGUAUUCAGGAAGGAGAAAACAAGUAGAAUGAGAGAAAACUAAUUCGAAAAAAGGGGAACCAUCCUCUAAAGGUAAAUAAGUAACUUUGAGCGAUAGAGAAUAGUACCGUGAGGGAACGUUGAAAAGAAGGUAGCUAACUGGUGAAAGAGAACCGGAAUAAGUAAGUUUAGAAGGGUUUGAAAGUUAAUAACUAACAAAUUUACCUUUGGUAUAAUGGGUCAGCGAUUUGAUUCCUGAAGCAAGCAGAAAACUAUAUGAAAAUGGUAGUAAAGUUUCAGUAAUCAGACCCGAAACCAAGUGAUCUUACCAUGAACAAGUUAAAGGACUGAACGGUAGUCUGUAGCAAUAGACACCGAAGAUUUGUGGUAGGGAGUGAAAAGCUAAUCUCACUUGGAGAUAGCUGGUAUUCCGCGAAAACUAUUUAAGUAGAACCUUAUAAUAUUUUGGCGUGGAUCGAGUCGAGCACUGGAUACAAAGUGAGAAAUCACUCGUCUUGGUUGGGGGGAUAAAAUAUCUUUAUCAAUUGUAUCUAAUCAACUUAAAGAUCCAUCCAAAUUAGGAGUCAGACGGUGGGGGAUAAGCUCCAUCGUCGAGAGGGUAACAGCCCAGAGGUCCGAAAUAAGGUCCCAAAAAUCUGACUAAGUGAAAGAAAUAGAGAGAACAAGAAUACAACCUAAAAGUGGGCUUGGAGGCAGCCAUCUAAGAAAGAAAGCGUAAAAGCUCAAGGGUCUAUUGAAGAAAAGAUAUAAAAUGUAAGGGGUCUAAGUCAGAUACCGAAGUGGACCAACCCCUGGUCCUUGCCGCACGAUAUUCACAUAUAGUGCAGGAUAGGCUAGGAUGGGGGUGGUAGCGGAACAAUCAGAGGGAAGAUGGAAAUCUGAACAGAUAAUGCUGACAUGAGUAGCAAAAAAGAAUAUAAGAAUUAUUCUCGCCAGGAGGAGAAGGGUUGUAUAGGCAAUAAAGCAUAGCUGUACGUAAAGUAACGGUAUCUAAGAUAAGAUCGAUGAAAAAAUCUUACUAAUAACAUAGUCCUUGUUCGCACCUGUCAGGUGUGUACGUAAGAGUGCAGAGCCCGCUCUGCACUCUAUGUUCAUAAGUAGCAGGGUCCAGCACGAUAUAAAUAUAUACCGAAAUAACCUUUGGGUUGAGUAUGUGGGACCAUGCUGAAAGCAUGCGUGCUGACUGGACGGCAAGGACUCAGGAAAAAUAAUUAGCGAUGGUUAACCGUACCCAAAACCGACACAGGUAUCCGAAGUGGCGAAUGAGACAAUCAUCUUGAAGGAACUCGGCAAAUUACCUCUGUAACUUAGGAAUAAAGAGGAUGAUCGGCUUUUCGAUCAUGACACAAAAUAGUAGGGAACGACUGUUUACUUAAAACACAGGACCUUGCAAAAACCUAAAUGUUGAUGUAUAAGGUCUGACACCUGCCCGGUGCCAUUAGAAAAAAUUAAUAAAUAAAAAAAACUAUAAAAUUUUAUUAAAUCUAAAGGUAAACGGCAGCCGUAACCUUGACGGUUCUAAGGUAGCGUAAUACCUUGGCUACUAAUUAUAGUCUUGCAUGAAUGGUGUAACGAUUUCCCUAGCUGUCUCCAAGAUGAACUCAGUGAAAUUACAAUGGAGGUGAAAAUGCCUUCUACCCUUAGCUAGACGGGAAGACCCUUUGAAGCUUUACUGUAAAUAAAUAGUGUGGGAAAAUGAGGAAUUAAGGGAUAACCGUUUUUUUAAAAGAUAACAUAAGGAAGAAUGUUUAUUAGGCAGUUUAACUGGGGCGGUUGCCUCCCAAAAGGUAACGGAGGUGUUCGAAGGUAGAGUAUAUAUUGAAAAGAUAUCAACUAUAAAGUAUAAUGGCUUAACUCUGCUUAACAGUGAGUCUUACCAGACAAGCUGAGAGGUAACUCGGACAUAAUGAUCAGAUGAUAACAGAAUGGAAUGGUCAUCGCUAACGGAUAAAAGUUACUCAAGGGAUAACAGAUUUAUCAGCCCUAAUAGUACGAAUAGAGGGGCUGGAUUGAUACCUCGAUGUCGACUCAUCUUAUCCUCGGGCUGUAGAAGGUCCGAAGGGUUCGGCUGUUCGCCGAGUAAAAAGGUACGUGAGUUGGGUUAAAUACGACGUGAGUCAGUAUGGACCCUAUCUACUAAGGGGGUAAGGAUUAAUUCUUAAUUAAAACCUAGUACGAGAGGAUCGGGGCUAGUGAACCAAUAGUGUACCUGGUUACAGGGAAGCCACGUUCACGAAGGAUAACUACUGAAAGCAUAUAAAGUAGGAAACCAAUAAGAAAAAAUUCUUAAAAGAGUCGGACAAGACUAGUCCGUAAUUAGGCCAACUAAUAGAAUUAAUGUAAAUUAAAGUGAAGUGGUACUAAGGACUCGAAUAACUUGGUAAA